UACGAAGGGGGCAAGCGUUGUUCGGAAUUACUGGGCGUAAAGGGCGCGUAGGCGGCUUAUCAAGUCAGGCGUGAAAUUCCCGGGCUCAACCUGGGGGCUGCGCUUGAUACUGAUUGGCUUGAAUGCGGGAGAGGAUAGUGGAAUUCCCAGUGUAGAGGUGAAAUGCGUAGAUAUCAGGAAGAACACCCGUGGCGAAAGCGGCUCUCUGGAACGGUACUGACGCUGAGACGCGAAAGCGUGGGGAGCGAACAGG
rnacentral:rRNA from 1 species